UCCUGUUUUCUUUUGAAAAUUGCAAGGUGUGGCCAUCCGUCUGUGCCAGUAAUUUGCAGAAUGUGAACAGCUGUUGAUGUUUCUUGGGGGAAAAUGGUCUGUGCUAUUACUCUUUCUACUUGGCCUCUAUAAAUAUUCAUACUUUUAACCUCAGUCUUAAGUAAAGUAACAACUUAUUGCUAAGAAUUAUUACUAUGUAUUGAGUUCUUUGCAUAGUAGAUAGCACGUUGAGGACUUCACAUACACAUGCUUUGUCUCCACAAAGGCUCCAUGAGAUAUUUAUACUAUCAUUCCUAUUCCACAGAUGCCAAAGCAGAGGCUUUGAUGAGCUGAGAGCUGUCCGGAGCCACAGACUUACACACACAUAAUAAAAGGCAGUUUCCUCCACUGUGGAAACCAUGUGAUUCUCAGACUUGGUAGACUCCCUCCAUGGAGAUGGUAUCCGUGAGUAUGACCUUAAAAAUCCUUUCAGCACUUACUCACAUUUGGGGUUGAAGCUUGUGUUCCCAGGUGUCUCUGGGACUUAGCCUCUUGUAUGUCCGUAAGUGCUCACCCAGUGGGAAAUGUGAGUCCGGACAAGGUCAGGCUUUAUGUAAUUCUCCUCCUCCUGUCCCCAGUCUCUCCUCCCUCCCCCUCCUGACCUCUCUGCUCCUGCUGCAGGCAGUGACAUUACCUCCAGCUUCCACUCGACUAUGUGGCCAUAAUGACCUCAUCUCUGGCUCUUCUUGCCUGCCUGUGGAUGUAAGGAUGCUUUGAUCUGUGGAUGCUUUGAGCUGUGUUUAUACUUGCUCCAUGACCCUGGCUUCAGAUCUCUGCCUCCCAUCUAUUCUAUCCCAAAUCUACUCGCUGGGUCAUGGAUAUAUUCCUCCGAAAGCGCUCAUUAGAUCACAUUAUUGUAUAGACUUCACUGACUCUCUAAAUGCAAACACAGGCAGCCAGUGCUCAUGGGCACAGCCUUCAGAACUCUGUGAUGCUGGGAAGCUUCUCUCAACAUGGUUAACUUGUAAUUCCCCUUUACGGCUCUAGACCUUCAGCCAGUCAGAACUGCGUCGCCAGGUCUCAAAUGCUCCCUGUGCUUUUUACGUCUCAACACCAGUCCUUGGUCCUUUGCAAUGCUCUGUGCCUCAGCCUUUCUUAGGAAACGUCACUCCAGUGUUUGAGGUGAGUCUCAAGUGUUGUCUCAAAGGAGACUUCCCUGAACAAAAUCCUCUCCCUGUCUUGUCGCCUUCACCCCCAUUCUCAGCCAGAGAGGCAAACCUUCACCAUUUGACAAGCAUGUAUCAGACAUUCCUCAUCAUGCGUUUUUGUCCAGCAUAAUGGUAAUCCUAAGUGUUUACAACAUGGCAAGUGUUGCCUUAAUGCUAUCAGGUGGUGAUGCAUGCAAUGUGGAAAAUAUAGAGUAGCAGAUUCUGAUUGACAUGGUGAUAAUAAACAUGUGAGGAAUGUCCAUACCCACCUGGACUUGUGACUGGGGGAAGCCUGUGCCACCGAUGUUCAGACCAGCGAGCUCCACCUAGAAGCAAAAGUUCACCCACAGCUCUGGCGGGUCUGUUAACUCCUCCUGCGUGCUUGGUUAGACACUAUGGCUGCAUGACCUCUUUGUCGAGCUCUCCCUAAAGGAAAUGCAGCCAGGAAAAGAAGCUGCCUCCGGGACCUGUAGAUUCGAGGACAGUCAUGUCUGCAGUGACAGGCUCUGUCCCGUUAUGGGCAGAGAAGCGAACCACAGGUGAGGCCGGGCAACCAUGCUGAUUAUAAUCGAGGCUGCUAAGAGGUGAUGCUCUGUCUGUAGCGCCACUCCGGAGAGUGCAAGUUCUACCUAGCAGUCACCGAGAUGCCAGUGGUGACAACCACCCUGAAGAACAAGGACAGACACUCUGAGCUUUAUGUGUUGUGUACUUUUUUGAUCUGAUACCCACAGGGCCAGAGAAGGUCUUUUCCUAUGGGCACGCCAAUGAAGCCAUUAUUAACAAUCCGGGCUGAAGACAUGGAAAUUCAGGAAGCUGCCAAACAGGCAGGUGGAGACACAGCAGGCUGGUCCACCCCGCAAAGGGGUUCUGGGAUGGAGAUGUGCGUUACGAUUCUUUCUGCAACAGUCCUGUGGAGCUCGACUUCCGAGUCCUCGGAAAAAGAAAGGAAUGGAUCUGCCCAAGCUGUGCUCUGUAGGAGUGUGGUGUUGGGGGUGUUUGCCAAGUAUUCUAGAGGUCACUUGAAGUAAAAUCUCUCUCCUUUCCCCAGGGCACUGCCAUUCCAAUGCCUCAAAGACAAUCUUGUCUGGGAUAAAGAUGGAGCCAAGAUUAGGCUGUGCCCUGUUGACUUCCCAGGCUCGGUCCAGGAGUGGCUCUCUCCAUUCUCACCCACCAAGUUAAAUGAACAGCAUGUCCUUAGCCACAUUUAAAAAGGGAUAUGGGAGAAAACUUGCUAAAAAAAGGGCCUUAGGCAGGGUGUUUAAAAACUGAAGUUUGUUUUUCUCAGUUGCUUCCCCAAAAGGACCUGAUGGGUUCCUCGAGACCCCACUGGAACUAAUGGCCCUCGGCUUCUCAAUGGAUGCAGUGGACCACCGAGAACCACAAGAAAUUCAUAUACACAUUUAAGUAUUUAGGAAUUUAAGUAUCCCUAAAGUAUACACAUAUAAUUUAGAAUGCAAAUUUAGGGGCUUCUUGGAGUCCAUCAGUGAACCCAAAGUAUAGUCUUUUUGAGGAGACAUGUACAAAUAUAUAAAAAUGACUUCAGAUAGUAUGUGACAAAAACAGCUUUUAAUUUUAAUUCCUCAGUAUUUAUUUCAAUGUAUAUUAAAGUCAUAAUUAACACACUACACCUAGAGUUUUGCAAGUGUUUUUGCCUUGUACAAGAUUAACUGAAAAAAUGACUAAGUCGGUUUUAGAGGAACACGAAACUAUCACUACUUUAGGGGGGAUCAUUGAGGCAGCAGAUGAAGGACACUUUUGGGUGCACUGUCCUAGUUAGUGGAAGCUAAUUAAAUAAUUCCAUUGCACAAUAAGGACAUUAGUGGUUCCCAAGAGCUCCUGAUAGCCAGAGGCAGACAGAGAAAGUCGUCAGGGUGUCAAAUUCUAAACCAGAGUUUUCUAUGACACUCUUGCUAGUCUGGCUUUCUGCUUGUGAGGUUUUAAUCUCAUAGGGGAAAAACACACACAUA